UCAUUAGUAGUGAAUUUAUCAUAUUAAGUUGCAAGCUUGAAGGAGCAAAGGCCUGAUGAA
rnacentral:tRNA from 1 species